rnacentral:snRNA from 1 species
GUUCGCUUCAGCAGCACAUGUACUAAAAGUGGAACGAUACAGAGAAGAUUAGCAUGGCCCUGCACAAGGAUGACAUGCAAAUUCAUGAAGCCUUCCAUAUUUUU